CCCAAACGGUCAAACCCCAAUUCCCUUGAGCGCGAUUACUGAGCAGAAGUGAGCCCUAACCCCACGCCUCCCACCCCCAAUCCAAAGCUCUCAGUCUCAUCCUCUCACCGUCGCGCUCUCCUCUCACCGUCGCGCUCUCCUCUCUGCAGUGGCACACGACCCUCGCACUACAGCCUGAACGACCCUCGCACACAGCGCACGACCCUCGUCCCUCGCAGGCUCGCACCCAGCGCCAGCAGUAGCAGAGCACGAGCCUCCUUCCUCGCACCCAGCAGUAGCAGAGCCCGACCCUCGCAACCUCGCACCCAGCAGUAGCAGAGCCACAACCCUCGCCAGUCGCCACCCACAACACAGCACCCACCAGUCACCGAUUCAAGUCUCCCACCCAGCCACCGAUUCAAGUCAGAUAUGGAGCCCGAGCCACCGAGUCAGGUUGGGGAGAUUAUUAUUAGUAAAUUGAAGGGAUUUUACUUGAAAGGUAAUUUCUUUUGUUUUUGUUACUACUUAACAUACGUGGUAAUAAUUUAGCUUAGAAACUCCACAAAUUGCUAGUAAUUACAAAGCCUUUCUUUAAUGGAUUGGUCUAAUACAUGAUCUCUGGUUCUAUUGUUGCCAUGGUUUGGGAGGGUAAAGGUGUUGUUGCAACUGGCCGAAAGUUGAUUGGAGCAACAAACCCUUUGGCAUCUGAGCCUGGAACUAUUCAUGGUGGUCUUGCAUCGAAUGUGCUUUCUAUAGAUCUUACCAUUCAUGGUAGAUUUGCUUGAAGAAGUUUCAUUGUUUUGUUGGAGAGGACACCAAGACGUGGCUAUCUGUUGUUGGAAAUUUGUUUUUAUUUUUUGUUGUGUUGACUAUUAAACCUUUAAACUUCUUUAAUUGUCGUAUUUUAAUUUCUUUUGUUGUUGAAUUUAUUGAAUCAAGACUUUUGUUAGUUAUGGUGUACUUGUAUUCUAUAAUUUCAAUGUUAUGACUUUGCAUAA